rnacentral:rRNA from 1 species
AGAGUUUGAUCAUGGCUCAGGAUGAACGCUAGCGACAGGCUUAACACAUGCAAGUCGAGGGGCAGCGAGGGAGUGGCAACACUUCUGUCGGCGACCGGCGCACGGGUGAGUAACGCGUAUGCAACCUGCCCUUCACAGGGGGAUAACCGGGAGAAAUUCCGACUAAUACCGCAUACGUCCUCCGGGGGCAUCCCCGGGGGAUGAAAGAAUUAUCGGUGAAGGAUGGGCAUGCGUGAUAUUAGGUAGUUGGCGGGGCAACGGCCCACCAAGCCCACGAUAUCUAGGGGUUCUGGAGAGGAAGGUCCCCCACAUUGGUACUGAGACACGGACCAAACUCCGUACGGAGGCA